rnacentral:RNase_P_RNA from 2 species
AUAAUUGUAGCUCCUACGAUUAAGAGACCUGUUUACAAAAUGGAAAAUUUUGCAAAAAAUUUUCAAACCUUUAUCAGGUGGGAAAUUCGGUGAAUUACAACAAACUUUUCAUUUUGUUUUGAGUAUAAGUUACCUACCCGUGAGGGAAAUUGGUGUAAACUAAUUUUACAAUAACUGCUCUGUCAUAAGAAAUCGUAACUAGAAGCUGACAGAAAUGUCAGCUUCUAGAUGGGAAAGGCAGAGGUUUUAAUCAGUGUAACGACUAUUAAAAAAUACUUGAAGCAGGAUCGGUGUUUGAUAGAGAUGGAAAGGGAAGGAUGCAUAUGCAUCUUGAUGUAUGGUGUUCUACCUUUGUUGUCUCUUCUUACGCUGUUAAAGAAAAACUUGUGUGACUUAUUUUGUCCUCUUUGUUAGUGGGAAACCUCUCUUGAGGUUCUAGUUUGCAGAGAUAGGAGAAGGUAAGGUCUGUUGAGUGCAAUCGUAGGAUACCUCUGUUAUGAACAGACUUCUGUCUUGACGUUAGUUCGAUUUGAUGAAAGUUUGUGAUUGCUCAGGUGAACCCGAUACCGAUUAUUACAGUUAU